UCAAUACGCAAAGAAGGACGUAGACUUUUACCUCCAUCGGAGGGGCCGAACCUAGGUAAAUCGCGUCUCUCAAUUCUGACCGACAUGUCUCAAGCUGCCACCUAGUUAUGAUGGCCUCACACCUAAGUUUUCUCACGAGGACAUCUUGGCAUGACAAAACUACGAUAGUUGAUAGCCUCACACCUAAGUUCUGUCACGAGGACAUCUUGCCGUGACAAAACCACGAUAGUUGACGUCCACCAUGGGGAUACGGACGGUGGAGUUGUGUUUUUGAAAAG
rnacentral:lncRNA from 1 species